rnacentral:misc_RNA from 1 species
UUUUCCUUCUUUAUUCCGUGAAGGUAACUAGUAUAUUUUCUGUGGUUCUUGCAGAUAUUACUUCUUUGCCUGUGCUAUGCAUCUGUGUCAUUUGUUCUCUUGGUUUCCAGUUCUUUGCCUGUAAAAUGCAUGCCUAAGGCUUCCUCUGCUGUGCAAUUCCUAAUAAUAAAAUUUUGAUGAAGGUUUUGAGCACUAGCUGAAUUUUGUGGUGACAAUUGUCUUUCUUAGUUAUAAUUUCUGCAUUAACAUCCUUUCUAUUUUGUCAGUUAUUAGAAGGGCUCCUCAUGA